UACGAAGGGGGCUAGCGUUGCUCGGAAUCACUGGGCGUAAAGGGUGCGCAGGCGGUCGCGUGUGUCAGGUGUGAAAUCUCGGGGCUUAACUCCGAAACUGCGCCUGAAACUACGUGACUAGAGCAUUGGAGAGGGUAGCGGAAUUCACGGUGUAGCAGUGAAAUGCGUAGAUAUCGUGAGGAACACCAGAGGCGAAGGCGGCUACCUGGACAAUUGCUGACGCUCAGGCACGAAAGCGUGGGGAGCAAAAGGG
rnacentral:rRNA from 1 species